rnacentral:rRNA from 1 species
UACAGAGGGGGCAAGCGUUGUUCGGAAUUACUGGGCGUAAAGCGCACGUAGGCGGCUUUGUAAGUUAGAGGUGAAAGCCCGGGGCUCAACUCCGGAACUGCCUUUAAGACUGCAUCGCUAGAAUUGUGGAGAGGUGAGUGGAAUUCCGAGUGUAGAGGUGAAAUUCGUAGAUAUUCGGAAGAACACCAGUGGCGAAGGCGACUCACUGGACACAUAUUGACGCUGAGGUGCGAAAGCGUGGGGAGCAAACAGG